ensembl:lncRNA
AUGGGUACCAAAAGGCUUAGCUGGAACCCCUUUGAGACUUUAUCAAGCAAAGGCAAAUCUGACUCCAAGCUCCAGCCAGGUGGAAAGAUUUCCCGUGAUCCAAGUCCCAGCCCAGCAAUGACGGCCCAGUCGGAGCGAGAGAGAGACAGUAGGCGAGAGGAAGACCGGAGGAGCGAGAGAGAGACGUUAAAAAUGAGGGACAAAGCCAGAAGCAAAGAAACGGACCCACGGGAUAGGUACUAUGGAAGGGAUCGAGCUCCUGCACUCCGGCCCAGAGAGGGAGAAAGAGAGUGGAGGGAGAGAGAAAGGAGGCAAGGAGAAGACAGAAGCAGGAACGGCAGGCUGCUGUCGAAUCUAGAGAAGUUGGCCAUGAGAGAUGUAGAAAGUGCUGCGAAGAAAGGAGACACUUUUCCCAAAAUGAGAAAACGAAGCGCAGAUCGUGGAACGGGAACGCCGUCCAACGCCGAGGUGGAUGAGGAGGAGAGAGGAGAGCUGAGACGGCGAGACGGGCCGAGGAGGGCAGAGCCCGAUGACUGGGAGCGAGAAAGAGAGAGGGCACGACGCAGAGAGCGGCACAGAGAGAGGGAAAGAGAUGAGGUCCGAAGCAGGGGAAAGGAAGAGGGGAAAUACACUCUAGGAAGACCUGUGAUAGAGGAGGAAUUCAGAAAGAGGGAAAGGUACCGGGAUGGUGAUGAUGGGUUUAAAGGUGGGACAAGAGAAAGGGGUCACUCGCUGGACAGGAGAGACAGGGAUGCAGGAAGAAAGAGAGAAAAGCCAAGGCCAAACAUGGGAGAGAGGGAGGCCUCGGUGCCUUCUCCUCACAAUCCAAGACUCAUCUACUCGGAUAGGAACGACAGGGCAGUGACUCCAAGGGGAGAGGGAAGGAGGGACAUCAGGAGCGAAGGUGACAGUGACGAAAGAGAGCGGAAGAGGGAGAGAGUGAAACACAAAGAGAGGCAGGAGUGGACAUAUCAACACAGCAGAAGUGAGGGGGACGAUGCGGGAAGAAUGCAGAGGGAGAGAUAUCAAGAUAGGCAAGGACACUGGGAAGAGGACAGGCAGAGAUAUAGAGGCGGGGACAGAGAAGCGGAUCGAUCCAGGAGGAACGGGGCGAAGAAAGAUGAGGCGAGGUACAGAGAGGUCGAUCGGCGAAUUGAAAGGGAGGGAGGCGGAUUGAAGGAACGGGUGACAGAUUUGAAAUAUGACAAGAGAGAGGGGGACAGUAACAGACAGCAUGAGCAGAGGACAGGCAGGGAAGUAAAGGAGGGGGAGGGCGAUCUAAGGAGGGACGAUAAGAUAGAGCUCAGAAGCCGAUCUGAGACUCAUCCCAGGGGGCCGCCGCGAGUCCAGAGCAGCGGAGAGUGGAGCAGCGACGUGGACUGCGACGUGAGGUAUAGAAGAUACAGAGACGGUAAUGAAGACAGGGAAUCGGGGCGAGACCGCACUGCUGGGAACGACAGGGACGUAGAAAGACAGAGAUAUACAGCCGCAGAAAGAAGUCAAAGGGAGGAAAGAAGACAUGAGCGGCAAGACAGAGUCAGGGGAGAGAUGACGGCGCGGAGGAGGAUGUGGUUGGAGCCACAGAGGGGCAAGAAUAGUAAAGGGGAGUUUGUCGACACAGAAAGACACGCGAUGAGGAAAGAGAGGAGGAGCAGCGAAGGAGAGAGGAGCAAGGAGUCAGGGGGUGAGUGGGAGCGAGAGGGGCGGCGAGUGAAAGAGGAACCAGAUGAGAAGCACUUGGACAAAAGUCGUUACAGGGGAAGGCAGGAAGGGAGAAAUGGGCAAAGGGGAGACGGAGAGAGGGAGGGACUGGGUGUGAGCGUAGACGGAGAAGAGGAGGUGCAGAGAGAAGUCGAAAAGGGAGGGAUAGAACAUCAGUCCGACGGGGACGGAGGGACAGAGCGAGGCUUGGAGAGGGAGACGGACCACACGGAGGGAAGCGACCGAGAGGAAGAGCGGGGAAGCCGCUCUGAGAACGAAGGAGGAGGAAGUGAGACAGGAUGGAGUCAUGGCAGAAUGCCGUCAGCAGAGGACGGUUUUGUGACCGUUUCUAGCGGUGGAGACGAGGAGGACGAAAAAGAGGAGGAGGGGGAGUUCGAGGACUGUCCGGAAUUCUGGGAAGGCGCACCCAAUGGCCGCUCACCUGUUGCCGUGGAGGGGUGCGAGGGAGACACGGAGAGGGGAACGGGAAAGGAGGAGGCGGAUGAUGAUGAAGAGGAGAAGGAGAAGCAGAAAAAGUACGUCUUCUGUGUGAUUGGGAAAACGUCGCCCCGGUCAGAAGCCACCGAGACGUCACUGUCACAACCUGAUCACACGGGAGGUGUUGAAAGAGGCAACCUAAACAAAGACAUUCCUAAUGAUUGCGGCGAAGAGGCUGCACAGCGACCUCACCAUGACCUGAGUGGAAGUGAUGACUGUCCGAUUAUCAUCAUCCAGGACACCGAGAUUAACAGCGGGUUUGACCCCCCGGGGGAGGAGUGGCCACUGGCCACAGGAGAGACAACCCGAGAGGAUGUCAGACACACAGUUGAGUUGAGGAACAAAGUCGAGCACCCAAUCGCCAUCAAAAGAGACUCGCGGACCGAAAAACUUCUCACUGAUUGGAGAGAGAAAAAUAGAGAUGGGGUGGAAGAAGAGGAGGAGCAGACCACGCCAGACCUGAGUAACCCCUACGGGGAUGUUUGUUCUCGGCUGGAUAUGAAACAAAUUCAACCCAUUUUGGAAGCGAUCAACGCUGCCGCAAUGAGUCCGGAGGAGGUGGAGGCCAUUCGGAUUCGAAUGAGCGGUACGUGGAGCAUGUCCGAGGAGCCCAAGCGGCAUUCCCAAGCCCCUCACCUCAAAUGGGCCAAAAAUGUAGUGCGGGAGAUUUUGGGACCUUCAGAGCAAAAUACCGUCGGUGAACCUCAGAUCAAGAGCGACAAUGGACGACAGCAGGAGGCCGCAGAGGCGCCUGUCUCUAAAGUGGGAACAGGCGAACGGCACUCGGAGCCACAGCUGGAGGAGGAAGAGCCGUUGGAGUUGGAGGGACUGAGAGGUAUGGAGCAGAGUCAAACUGACAUGCAUGCUGACCAGUUGACGGCUAUGCAUGUCGAUGACACACCCGCACACACUCAUGCUGACACACCGCUAGACACAGGAGGGGAGGAGGAUCAGAGUUUGGACGAAGCGGCCGGGCCGUCUGGUCACCUUCAGCUAGAGGACACAGUUGUAGAGGCGAACCAUAGCGAAGAGGUGGGCCAGGAGGUGGAAUUAUCAGAAAUGGAAAAAGAAGCAAGAAGGGAGAAGGAGAUGUAUUUGUCGGUGAGCAACACGCUCUACAAGCCUAACAGCUGCCCCAUUCUGAAUUAUGAAACUGAGUCUGACCUCCUCGUUCCCUCCAGAGAGGGACAGGGUGGCCAGGAGCUGGAGGACAGAAGUGGUGAGAGCGAGGAGGAGAGACAGAGAGGGGAGCCCGAGGAGAGGAGCUCUGUAGGGGAGGUAGGAGAGAGAAACCAGGCAGAAAGCAGAGAGGGAGAAGUUGUUAGGGAAAAGAAAGGGGCGGGGGGCACUCUGACGAGCAGCUGCAGUUUCCGUGAUUGGGGUCGGGAGGCUCGGAUGCGCAGACGGGGUAUCCGUAAAACCACUGAAAGAAGGAAUGGAGUGAAUUUAAAAGUGGAAGAAAAAGAAGACGAUGAUGCUGGAAGGGAUCGCAGAACCAGAAUAUUCUCUACAACGGAUGAUGAUGAGGAUGAUAAAAGCAAAAGCUGGGGAGAAGUAGAGCUGAGGAAUGUUUUGGACACAAUUGACAGACGGAAAAGGAAUUCAAGGUUUUUCAAUACCGCCCAGCUCUACCAGCAGUACAGCGAGGCCGCCCAGAACAUUGAGAUCAAGCGGCAGGCUCGCUCCGACGUCGUCUCCGUGUACGGGGACAGCAUCCCGUCCCCGUCUCCCUCACCCCCUCCCGCGUGCAGACCUCUUCCUCCCAUCCCUCCCGUCCCGCACCCCCACUCCCUGCUCCAAGUGGGCCCCGUCACCAGUGUCAGAAACUUGCCUCUCCCCGAGCCCCCCAAGAGCGAAAGCAGGCCCCCGUCCCCGCGUCUGUCCAUCUCUCUCUCUCAGUCGGCCACGCUGUGGCGGGAGCUGCCGGGGGUCCAGGACAGCGCUGAGCUGGAGAAGCUCACAGACGACCAGAGGCGACUCCAGGAGGUAACGCGUUGUUUUACUGCACAGAUGAACACGGCCACCGCUUGGUGGAAUUUGUUUUUGUUCGGCCGGUAUAAAGGAUUUUUAUUGAUGUAG